AGGCAGCCACUUAUGUGGUAUAAAGUGAGUAUUUUAAACUUAAAUUUAGAGAUGCUUUGGUAAUUGAUAAUAAGAUUAAAAAAAUGUGUUGCUUGGUAUUGCAUCAACAAGUAUAUUUUUAAGAGAAAGCGUGUUUUCCUAGAAAAAUUUGCCAGGAAAGUUUUUAAAACAUUCAAUCCUUUUUUUCUUUUUAUCUUCAUUUUUUGGUUGCUGUUAACCAAGAAGCAUGCUUGUUCUUCCUGCUUUCAAGCCUCGAAUGAGUUGUGGCUCCUAUAACUUGCUUUGUUUUAAAUAAACAUAUCCAAUGAAGGCGGCAUAUUUCUAAUCAGCAAAUUAGAGCAUGGUUCCAAGCAUAUUUUUUACCAUCUGAUUUCGGAGCUGCUGAGUCUAGAACUAACAUUCUUGUGUCACAUUUCUAGACCACUUUCAAUGCUCCAGCUGGA
rnacentral:misc_RNA from 1 species